UGGCUGUGAUGAUGAAAACUUCGUUUCUCGAUGCUGAGACUUGAUCUAUUCAAGGAUAAACUUUUGAUGAGAAUUGCGUGCCUGAGCCAA